CAGUAUAUAUAUAUAAGUCUUUAGGGACUCAAUAUUUACACAUAGCAUCCUUGGAUUUUCUACGUGUUUGGAAAUAUUUCGUAAGAAUGGCUAAACUUUUAUUGCUGUUAUUUCUUGUUGGGUUUUUGGCGAUUUCAAUUCUGCCUGAAGUUGCUGAAGCUCAAUAUGGUGAUUGUUAUUACGGAUACUGUCCAGGUGGCACUCGUUUCUGUGGGUACUGUAGCAGUUACCCUGUAAUGAGAAGAUGUUGUCCGCGGUACCUAAGACCAUAUUAGUACCAAAGGAUUGCGUCAAGAACAACAAUUGACCAAUACCAGUGUUACCAACAAAAAUGGCGUCAGCAAAGAAUCAAGAUAAAAUACGCAAUUAAUUUAAAUCUACAACUUUCUUUUUCUUUUUUUACGCUUUUCCCCCUGAUCAUACAUAAAAACACAAAUGAAAUGAAAUUUGAUAAUAAAUGUGAUACAUUA